rnacentral:rRNA from 1 species
UACAGAGGUCUCAAGCGUUGUUCGGAUUCAUUGGGCGUAAGGGUGCGUAGGCGGCGCGGUAAGUCGGGUGUGAAAUCUCGGAGCUUAACUCCGAAACUGCAUUCGAUACUGCCGUGCUUGAGGACUGGAGAGGAGACUGGAAUUACGGUGUAGCUGGUGAAAUGCGUAGAUAUCGUAAGGAAGACCAGUGGCGAAGGCGGUCUCUGGACAGUUCCUGACGCUGAGGCACGAAGGUCAGGGGAGCAAACGGG